ACAAUGGCUAUUGCGCAUCCGUGUACGGCGGUUUCUGCUUCCUGAAGGCCAACGUGGCUGCGGCGUGUCCAACAGGCAACAUAUAUAACGCUGGCUGUGCCGGACGCAGCUGUGCCUGCUGUGUCCCAGAUGUAACCAAGUGCAUUGCGAAGCCUAAGUGUUACGCACUUGGAGGUUCUUGCGUGAAGCCUGCCGAUCCUUGCGCCAAGGCUCAUAGGAACCCUACUUUUUGCAGAGGAACCGGUUGUGCCUGCUGUUAUUAAGAACUGACGACGGCGAGGCGGAGGGCAGACUUAACCAUACACAUGGAAGGUCAAUUGAGCUGUUAACUCUUACCACGAAGACAUCCCUUAGAAAAUGAAAAGUAGAGUGUAUCAUUUAACUCUUUUUAGUACUGGUGUUCAAUUGUAUGUGAGGGAUGAUUAGGAAUUACUUAUUCCAUACGUAGGUUCAUCAGCAUUAUAAUGAGGCUCUCAUACAUUACCCUCCGGUUCAGCAAUGCAUUAAAUCCCACUUAAUCAAUGCAUAUUUUUAGUAAAAAUGCUGAAAAAAAUCUAAAUUUUCUAAAAAUUAAUUAUAUAUUUGUGUUAAUGUGUGUGAAAGGCAGAUCCUUGCCUAAAAAUUUGCACUGCACUGAAAAUUCCAGAAUUUAACAAUAGUGUGCUUAUUCAUUUAGGUAAUUCACAAAAUAGCUAGUACUAAAAUAAUUGUGUAUUUUCUGAAUUAUCCAUCCUUUACAUUUAUUUUGUGUAGUUAAAUUUCACUCUAAUUUUAAUUGGAAUUACAAAUUAUUUUCCAUACGGAAUCUAUCAAUAAUGAUCCUGUGGUUUGUGCACGAAGAUAUUAUGUGAUUAAAUAUCUGUUUGACAAACACGCAAGUUUCAUAGUCCUUUACCAUAUGCCGUUACAGGCUUUCUCCAUGUGAAUACUCGAUCUUCUACCAUAA